rnacentral:rRNA from 1 species
AGCGAACGCUGGCGGCAGGCCUAACACAUGCAAGUCGAACGAAGCCUUCGGGCUUAGUGGCGGACGGGUGAGUAACACGUGGGAACGUACCUUUUGGUUCGGAAUAACGCAGAGAAAUUUGCGCUAAUACCGAAUGAGCCCUUCGGGGGAAAGAUUUAUCGCCGAAAGAUCGGCCCGCGUUGGAUUAGGUAGUUGGUGUGGUAAAGGCGCACCAAGCCUACGAUCCAUAGCUGGUCUGAGAGGAUGAUCAGCCACACUGGGACUGAGACGCGGCCCAGACUCCUACGGGAGGCAGCAGUGGGGAAUCUUGCGCAAUGGGCGAAAGCCUGACGCAGCCAUGCCGCGUGAAUGAUGAUGGUCUUAGGAUUGUAAAAUUCUUUUACCAGGGACGAUAAUGACGGUACCUGGAGAAAAAGCCCCGGCUAACUUCGUGCCAGCCGCCGCGGUAAUAC